rnacentral:rRNA from 1 species
UACGUAGGGCGCAAGCGUUAUCCGGAAUUAUUGGGCGUAAAGAGCUCGUAGGCGGUUUGUCGCGUCUGCCGUGAAAGUCCGGGGCUCAACUCCGGAUCUGCGGUGGGUACGGGCAGACUAGAGUGAUGUAGGGGAGACUGGAAUUCCUGGUGUAGCGGUGAAAUGCGCAGAUAUCAGGAGGAACACCGAUGGCGAAGGCAGGUCUCUAGGCAUUAACUGACGCUGAGGAGCGAAAGCAUGGGGAGCGAACAGG